rnacentral:rRNA from 1 species
UACGGGGGGAGCAAGCGUUGUUCGGAUUUACUGGGCGUAAAGGGCGCGUAGGCGGUCGUGACAAGUCACUUGUGAAAUCUCCGGGCUUAACUCGGAACGGUCAAGUGAUACUGUCGGACUAGAGUACAGAAGGGGCAACUGGAAUUCUCGGUGUAGCGGUGAAAUGCGUAGAUAUCGAGAGGAACACCGGUGGCGAAGGCGGGUCUCUGGGCCGAUACUGACGCUGAGGAGCGAAAGCGUGGGGGAGCGAACAGG